UAUUUGAGACGAGAAACCCCGUGCCGUUCUUUUUCUUCCGAGACGCUGACUGAGAAGGUUACUCUAGUCAUCAUUGCUGGGUACUUUCUUUCCCUACUUAGUUCUUCAUAAAAAAAGGUUGGUGGAGAUUUUUCUCAACGUGCAGUGCCAAGUCAACAAGAUGCCUCUUAUGUAUCAUGUUGUGAGAUGAAAAUGGGAAGAAAACAGGAAAUCUGAAAUGAUUCCUUUUUUGGUGUUGAAGCUGUUAAUGGUGGUGAUGCCUGUUGUGCAGUGGUGUGGAAGGCAUUUUCAGAUUGAGAGAUGAGCUGAAAUGGAUCUUUGGCAGCCUUACAGUUCAACAUAAAACUUCAUUAUACCAUAUUGGUGCCCAUCCUGUGUAGAGCUGUUGUGUGCAAAAUAGUUGGUGUUGCCUGAUGGCUGUCUGGCAUUUUGUUGGUGUGUUCUUCUGUUACCUGUUGAGUUCAAUCGUACGGCGCCGUUCCAGACUUGAUCCGUUGGUGAAGCUGAGGAGUUGCUGAAAUUCAAGACUGAUGGAUCAUUAGAUAUUACAUAAAUUAAAAUUGCAAAUUAUUGUCCCUUUUGCCUAAGUAAACAAAAUGUCCUCUGUUGCCUAGUGUGUGAAAACCAGGGCAUGCCAAAACCAGGGGUGUCAUGGUUGAAUGGGGAAUUGCAAUGAAGUUUGAUAUUUUCUAUGAGGAAGAAGUUAAACCACAAAGAUACUUAUACUCCGAUGAACUCUUACCGCCUCCAAACAUUUUCGCUCUUAAUCAACAAUGUUAUCUCGUAAAAAAAAUAAAUUGCUGAACCAAAA